GUGGCGAUCUUGAGCUGUGUGUAGCUGUAACCUGCAGCUUGCGCUUUUAACUGCUUGUAGUUGAGUGGCAGCAUGAGCGAGCUCUGCGUAUUCCACCCCGGCGUUAAGAAUCCUUCACUAGCUUUUCUUCCCGACUCUGCUUAUUUAUCCAUCGGUAGCAUGACGGGUAAUUGACGCCCUCGGAUGGCUUUGAGGUCGCCAUUUUUGGUUGGUGCCUUUGUCAUGGUGUCAGGACCAGGAUAUCAUCUGGGACACAUUACCCCACAGUUAGGUACCUACAGCCGCUGAGAGCCUGUAUUCCAAGGCCAUGAGACGCCUUAUGUCGAGAGCAGUUGACGAGAGAGAUCCAGCACUUACUGCAAACGGAAGGAGUGAUUACUCCCUCGCUUGCUCAGCCGCUCUUCCCAGCCACUCCUUCGGCGCCCGUCAGCACCUUCCCAGCAAGCCCUGCUUAUAUUUGCAUAUCGACUCACGUCAUUUUCUUCUAAGUAAAAAUCGAAAGGACAAAUUCUAGAUUCUCCUUAUGAAGUCUUCCUUUCAGUUCAGAAGAAAUGGAAUUCGCUCUCCAACUUCAGGAAACUGAAAUAAAGAGUUGCUUGGAUUUAGUGUUCACCUUUACCAUAAAAUGGAUUUGCUAACACUGCCACCCUGCUUUGGUAGCCAAUAAAGCAAAAAGGGCUUCUGUCGUGAGUGGCACACGUAGGGCAACUCGAUUGCUCUUCGUGCGGAAUCGACAUCAAGAGAUUUCGGAAGCAUAAUUUUUUGACAUUCGGGCAGCUGGUGAUCGUUGGUCCCGGCGCCCUUCUUUUUC